rnacentral:rRNA from 1 species
UACGGAGGGAGCUAGCGCUGUUCGGAAUUACUGGGCGUAAAGCGCACGUAGGCGGUCUUGAAAGUCAGAGGUGAAAUCCCAGGGCUCAACCUUGGAACUGCCUUUGAAACUUCUGGUCUUGAGGUCGAGAGAGGUGAGUGGAAUUCCGAGUGUAGAGGUGAAAUUCGUAGAUAUUCGGAGGAACACCAGUGGCGAAGGCGGCUCACUGGCUCGAUACUGACGCUGAGGUGCGAAAGCGUGGGGAGAAAACAGG